rnacentral:rRNA from 1 species
CCUACGGGUGGCUGCAGUGAGGAAGAUUGGUCAAUGGGCUUACGCCUGAACCAGCCAAGUCGCGUGAGGGAAGACUGCCCUAUGGGUUGUAAACCUCUUUUGUCAGGGAGCAAGGGGCGCUACGUGUAGCGUUAUCGAGAGGACCUGAAGAAAAAGCAUCGGCGAACUCCGUGCCAGCAGCCGCGGUAAUACGGAGGAUGCGCUCGUUAGCCGGAUUUCUUGGGUUGAAAGGGGGCGUAGGCGGAAUGCCAAGUCAGCGGUAAACUCGCGGGGCUCACCCUCGCUCCGCCGUUGAAACUGGCGUUCUUGAGUGGGCGAGACGUCUGCGGAAUGCGUUGUGUAGCGG